rnacentral:rRNA from 1 species
CGUAACAAGGUUUCCGUAGGUGAACCUGCGGAAGGAUCAUUAUCCAUCUCAAACCAGGUGCGGUCGCGGCCCCCGGGGGCUUGCUCCCGGGUGGUAGGGGUAACACCCUCACGCGCCGCCUGCCUGUACCCUCUUUUUACGAGCACCUUUCGUUCUCCUUCGGCGGGGCAACCUGCCGCUGGAACCAAAACAAAACCUUUUUUGCAUCUAGCAUUACCUGUUCUGAUACAAACAAUCGUUACAACUUUCAACAAUGGAUCUCUUGGCUCUGGCAUCGAUGAAGAACGCAGCGAAAUGCGAUAAGUAGUGUGAAUUGCAGAAUUCAGUGAAUCAUCGAAUCUUUGAACGCACAUUGCGCCCCUUGGUAUUCCAUGGGGCAUGCCUGUUCGAGCGUCAUCUACACCCUCAAGCUCUGCUUGGUGUUGGGCGUCUGUCCCGCCUCUGCGCGCGGACUCGCCCCAAAUUCAUUGGCAGCGGUCUUUGCCUCCUCUCGCGCAGCACAAUUGCGUCUGCGGGGGGGCGUGGCCCGCGUCCACGAAGCAACAUUACCGUCUUUGACCUCGGAUCAGGUAGGGAUACCCGCUGAACUUAA